CGCGUUCAUCCAGCAGCUUUUCUCACUGUGUCAGCCUCAGCAGCAGCAGCAGCAGAAGCAGCAGUAACACACAAAAGGAAGCCACAAGAUGCCUUGUUUUCCAACGUCUGUCAAAGUUCAGACAGUCACCACAGGGUUAACCUAUGGCGCCGAUGUAGCUCUGAUGAACCAAGUGAAAUGGAAGGUGAAGUUGGAGGGAACCAACCAGGAUGGAAAAUGCAUCAUUGUUUUCUGUCCCAUCGUCUCCCGUGUUGGUUCAGAUGUGGAGGCCGCCAUGAAAAACAU